UUUCACCUUUGGGUGAUGCAACCCUAUAGAUUGAAGGGAAUGCUCGAAGGGCUUAUUGACAUUUAAGGAUAAGUUUUGGUGGUUGCUGAUUAGAUACCGACUGAUACCCACUACUUUGGAUAAUACAUUGACGUAGGAGGGAGCAACACUGGUUGUGUGUAUGAUGGCUAGAUAUGUUGUUUAUUUUGAUGCCAUCCUU
rnacentral:lncRNA from 1 species